UUUUCUUUCACGACCCUCUAUUAGUCUAUUCUCAUUCUCUUGCCGUUCAACAGCCUCUCUUUGUCUUCUCAGUCUCUCUUCCUUCUCACCAGUCUCCUUCAGUAUCCUCUCAUUCUCUUUCUUCUCAAGAGCCUCUUUCAGUCUCCUCUCAUUUUCUUCCCGCCUAAGCGCCUCCCUUAAUCUCCUCUCAUUUUCUUCUCUUUCAUAAGCUUCUCUGAGUAUAUUCUCAUUUUCUUCCUGCUUAUGGACAGCCUUCUUCAGCCUUCUGUCAUUUUCUGCUUGUUCAAGAGGCACAUUAAGCUUUCUCUCAUUUUCU
rnacentral:misc_RNA from 1 species